ACCUGAGUAUCCUCAGCAAUUGAUCGUUGGGGAGUUCCUGGGCUCAGCAUCCUGCAGGACUGGCUCUCAAAAUAAUAAAAAUAAUAACAAGGAAUUACUACUAAAAGUUCAAUUGCAAUACCAGUCUUUGUCAUAAUCACUUAAGGGCACAAGUACUUAGAAGAAAGAUUAGGUCAUGAUUAUAAAUUAUGAUGCAAACAUUCUGAUGGAUUUUAUGUUCUGUUCUGUUUUAAGGUUGUGAAUGUUGCCUUCAUACAUGAUAUUUUUCCCCAAAUGAAGAGUCAGUGUAUCUAGUAUCUCAUGUCUGUCUUCUGUGCAGAAAUUUCUGCUGGAACAGAGAAAGAAAAGUUUGCGUAAGAACUUGCCACAAAGACAAAUGAGCUUGAGAGGUCAAUCACAGUGGAAGCUUUCAGUGUGUUAAUGUAAAAAAUGAUCUUUAUCCUGAGGGGGCACUGUCACAGCAGGCAUGGUUGCUUCUUGCAAUAUUCAUGAAGAAGUUUGUGGACAAUGAUGAUGAAGUCCUGAUGAACAGGGUAUAAACAGAUUUUACUAAGAAGAGAACCAUAUAAUUUGAAGUUCACAAAGACAGCAGUCAACAAGCUGGCUGACUUAUAGAUUAAGAACUGUUCUGUGGUAAUUGCUCAGUCCAGCAUGGCUACUCAUGCUGAUUUGUCAUUAUUCUCCUUUCAAAAUCAAGAACAUCAACUUGCAGAUUAUCUAAUUUUGUUGCAACUGUGAAACAUGCACUGAACCUGCUCAUUCAGUGAACAUGCCAGAGAAUUGCAUUUCCUUGUCAGGUUGCGUUGCUUCAGUCUGUGUAGCACAUAUAAACUAACUUCCCUUCAUCAUUUUAACCCUUGCCAAGUCAAGUCCAUUAUGAUUUUUUGAUGCACCUCAUAUUCAGGAAUUGAUUCACUUCCUCUUUCCAUCUGUAAAAGGAGAAGUCCUCUGCAAGCAACACUGACUUUGGGGAUAGGCUCCCUGCACAGAAAACGGUAUGUUUCUCAUAAAGAAAUAUAUAUUUUCUGGAUGUCAAUUAAAUAUAGGGUUCUUUGAAGAUUGUCCAACAAGCAUGGAAAAUAAACAGAAAACUGAAUCUGAAUACCAGAUUGAAUCACGUUUGAAAUGUAUGUGUGCAGUUGCAGGAAUUUUUGGAAUACCUUUCACUUCAACUUUUGAGAAGAGGCAUUUUUGUGAGGUGAGAUUUACCAAAACCAACCAAACAAAUAAAUGUGAUUCAAAAUAAGUAUACCUAGGUUUAGUUAGUUAACCUCCUACAUGAGGAAAGAAAUCUACAAAUAUGAACAGAACAUUCUUUGCCAUAGGGCUGGAGUUCCCCUCCCUUAUCUUUAUUUGCCUAAGAAGCAGGUAUCUAGUCUAAGCCAGUUAGCCAGCACAGUGCUCCUGGGAAAGGAGAUAUUGCUCAUACAAGGCAAACAUCGGAUAUAAGAAUCACCGUCUUGAAGUGUGUAUCUUAUUCAGUUGAUCACAGAGGUAGCCAAGAUGACUAGCCUUUAACAGAUACCUAACUUCUGGAUGGUUCUUGAAUCCCUCUCCAAAUAUUGAAUAUAUUUUAACCAGACAUAUUUCUUUUGAACAGAAUUGUGUAAUUCUUUUGUACAGAAUUGCACUAGUGAAAUCCACCUUCCUAGCUUGAGGUCAUAUACAUUCAGAUAGAUAGUUUUAAGAUAUUUUUAUUAUAUUUCAGAGACACAAAAUCAGUUUAUAAAAGAUUAGUGCAUGCGUUUUCCAUGUAAUACACAAUUACUAAAUUAUAAUGCAUUAUUAUAAAAUAACAAGUAGUUUAUGAAUUGUGCAUAGAUGGUAACACCACAGCAGAAACUGAAUUCAUGCCUAUUCCUUCAUCUGCUGCUUUUAACUAUUUUUGUUGUAAUAAUCCAUGUCACUCCUUGAUCUGUUUCCAUAUAAUUAUAUUGAAAUUAUCUUCCAAAUCAUUCAGGUUUCUUUUCCAGAAAUCUCAGCUGUUCACAGUCUUUUCUGAGGCCAGGUUCUCUUCUGUUCCUGGCCAUCUAUUGAAGGACUUGGCCAGAACUUCUCGACAGUUAGCCAAUACAGAU